UUUAAUAAUAAUUUAAAACUACUAUAGAAACUGCAGAGCAAAGGAAGUGGCUUAAUGAUCCUGAAGGGAUUUCUUCUGAUGGUAGCUUUUGUAUUAUCAAGUAAGAUUCUAUUUUCAGUUGUGUGUAAGCAAGUUUUUUUUUAGUGUAGGAGAAAUACUUUUCCAUUGUUUAACUGCAAAACAAGAUGUUAAGACUUUUUUCAGAUAACAUCUUCUGAGUCAUAACCAGCCUGGCAGUAUGAUGGCCUAGAUGCAGAGAAAACAGCUCCUUGGUGAAUUGAUAAGUAAAGGCAGAAAAGAUUAUAUGUCAUACCUCCAUUGGGGAAUAAGCAUAACCCUGAGAUUCUUACUACUGAUGAGAACAUUAUCUGCAUAUGCCAAAAAAUUUUAAGCAAAUGAAAGCUACCAAUUUAAAGUUACGGAAUCUACCAUUUUAAAGUUAAUUGCUUGUCAAGCUAUAACCACAAAAAUAAUGAAUUGAUGAGAAAUACAAUGAAGAGGCAAUGUCCAUCUCAAAAUACUGCUUUUACAAAAGCAGAAUAAAAGCGAAAAGAAAUGAAAAUGUUACACUACAUUAAUCCUGGAAUAAAAGAAGCCGAAAUAAAUGAGAGAUGAGUUGGGAUCAAGUGGAUUGAGGAGGCUGUGCUGUGUGCCAAUGUUUCGUUUGCCUCAGACAGAAACUUUGUCUGCGAACACUCUUUAAUGGACCAGAUCAGGAUUUGAGCGGAAGAACGAAUGUAACUUUAAGGCAGGAAAGACAAAUUUUAUUCUUCAUAAAGUGAUGAGCAUAUAAUAAUUCCAGGCACAUGGCAAUAGAGGCCCUCUAAAUAAGGAAUAAAUAACCUCUUAGACAGGUGGGAGAUUAUGAUCAGAGUAAAAGAGAAUGCAGUUGUCUUGACUUCAGGUCUGUCUGUUCUGUUGGCAAGUAAAUGCAGUACUGUUCUGAUCCCGCUGCUAUUAGAAUGCAUUGUGAAACGACUGGAGUAUGAUUAAAAGUUGUGUUCCCCAAUGCUUGGAGUAGUGAUUGUUG
rnacentral:lncRNA from 1 species